rnacentral:rRNA from 1 species
AGCGAACGCUGGCGGCAUGCUUAACACAUGCAAGUCGCACGGGCAGAUUUCGGUUUGUCAGUGGCGGACGGGUGAGUAACGCGUAGGUAUCUGUCCUUGGGGUGGGGGAUAACGCUGGGAAACUGGUGCUAAUACCGCAUGAUGACUGAGGUACCAAAGGCGCAAGUCGCCGUGGGGAGGAGCCUGCGUCCGAUUAGCUAGUUGGUGGGGUAAAGGCCUACCAAGGCUAUGAUCGGUAGCUGGUCUGAGAGAUGAUCAGCCACAUUGGGACUGAGACACGGCCCAAACUCCUACGGGAGGCAGCAGGUGGGGAUAUUGGACAAUGGGCGAAAGCCUGAUCCAGCGACGCCGCGUGAGUG